rnacentral:rRNA from 1 species
GGGGCAUGUUUGACACAGCCCCCCCGCGUGAACGAAGAAUGCCCUAUGGGUGAUAAAGUUCUUUUAUUUGGAAAGAAACCUUUCCACGUGUGAUAAGGUGAGGGUACCAUAAAAAAAAGCACCCGAAAUCUCUGCCCGCGCAGCCGCGGUAAUACAGGGGGUCCGCGCGUUUUCUGGAAUCUUGGGGUAUAAAGGGUUUGCGCGGGGUCAAAUAUGUCAGUGGAGAAAUCUCGGGUCUCCCCUCGAAAACCCCCCUUAAUACUGAUUGUCGAGAUUUAAAGAGGGGAGUGGAGAUUCUGUAGUGGAGCGGAAAAAUGUAUAUAUAUUGCACAGAACCCCGAGAGAGAGGGCAGCUUACUAAACUUAUAUAGACGCUCAUGAAAAAAAGCGGGGGGAGAGCACAGGAUUAGAUCCCCUGGUAGUCCACGCUGUAAAAGAUGGUUACUUGAUCUGGGGGAUAUACGGUCAGUGUCUAAGCGAAAGCGAUAAG